UACGAAGGGGGCUAGCGUUGCUCGGAAUCACUGGGCGUAAAGGGUGCGUAGGCGGGUCUUUAAGUCAGGGGUGAAAUCCUGGAGCUCAACUCCAGAACUGCCUUUGAUACUGAGGAUCUUGAGUUCGGGAGAGGUGAGUGGAACUGCGAGUGUAGAGGUGAAAUUCGUAGAUAUUGGGAAGAACACCGGUGGCGAAGGCGGCUCACUGGCUCAUUACUGACGCUCAGGCGCGAUAGCGUGGGGAUCAAACAGG
rnacentral:rRNA from 1 species